GAGCGUGCCGCCGAUCAGCGUGCCGAUGGGAUAGUCGCGCGGAUCGGUGGGCCUCCCGGUGAGGCCGUCGACAAAGGACGACCAGCGCGAGACGUAGGCAAGCGCGCGGCCGUUUUCCUCCUGGUGCCAGCGCUGCAUAUGCGGAAUGGGCCAGGUGAACCCCUCCGGCGUCGCCCCUUCUACAACGGUUGAGUAUGUCGAGUCGCCCCGACCGCGAUUGUGGCCGUCGACGGUUUCGACCCUGAGUCGCACGGCAGCCGACAGAAAGGCGUGGAGCGCAUCGAGUUGGCCCAACACGGGCGACGGCCUUGUGCGCGACUCGGGCCGGGGCGCGUCGCGGUCCACAGAGACGAGAGCCAGCGACAUGCACAGGCGCGCCUGGCGCGCGCGUCGGUAGGCCAUCUGAUCGAGUCCCAAUUGGACGACUUGAUCGGCGGGCCAAUAGCCCCACGGGUGGGUAGUGUCCUGUUGGUCCUGCUCAGGCGUCGACGGCGCGCCCAGGUAGGCGCACGUACCCUGACGCGUGCACUUGUACUUUCUGCGCUGGCUGUUUUCGCUACAGCGGUAGCACGCGGGGUUGCCCAUCAUGCGCGAUAGUGGCAGACGGAUUGGGCGCGGUCGGCGUAUGAUGCCCGUCAUCAUGCCGCCCAAGGCACCGUUGCCGGGAAUGGUGGGCAUGCAUAUCUCGUGUUGCGGGUCGGCAGAGCCACAGCGCACACAGACAGAAUCGCCCGACCGCGGCUGCAUCGCGGGUGCGUGUGCAGAGGGCACGACUGUCGGCGACACGCCGGAUGGCCCGGCACCGCUCGCGUUAUCGCCGGGAGACGGCGGCACCUGGCCGGUGCUAGCGGCGGUACGACGCGCAAACUCGUACGGAUUGCGCAACAAGGGCGCAAAAUCAAAGGCCGCCAGGAGAGACGAGAGGUCGGUGCAUUCUUGCGGUUUGGACCGCGCGACCAGUCGAGUCGCAAUCUCGUCGGGCGUCGCCCCUGUUUGCGAUGAAUGCCCAGUCGUCGGUCCGGCCUGUGGCAUGUUUGACGUUGUUGAUGAUGACAACGAGGUGGAUGACGACGUCGAUGCAACGGGAUCAGCCAGGGUGGGGGUGGUUGGCGACAACACAGAGACGGCAAAGCCCUUGCGAUUGGCCUUGGCCAGGCGAUCGGGGCGCGCGACGAUGCCGGGGAGAGGGCGACUGGUGCGGCCGACAAUGCUCCACACGCACUCGGCCAUGGCGCGCACCGCGCGACCGUCAUAGUAGGCGCACACGUGGCCCAUGUCAAAGCCGGCAAUGACCUGUGCCGCUGUGCGGCAGUCGGUAUAGACGAUCUGGAGAGUCUCUCUAUGUCCCUGGUCAUUUUUGUCAUGUUUGUCGUCAUUCCCAUAUUUUACGGUCGUGUCGUCGGUGCCAUGUUUGACGUCCUUGGUGUCGUCGUCCGUGUUGACAAUCGAAGGUAGCGCGUGGAAAGAGACCACCGACCCCGAGACCACACACCGGCAGUUGGGGACGGCGGCAAAGAUCGUCUCGGCAAUCUUGGCAAACACGUCGCGACGAUGUUCGUCGUCUGAUCCAUAGAUCCACAGAUCCAUGUCGCCUCGCGGCGCGCGCAGAUGGGGCGACUGCAUGGCGUCGACGACACUGCCGCCGGCGAGAACGACAUUGCCACCGUGCAAGAGACCAUCGCGUAUGACCAAGGGUCCAAACAUGGGAAAGGUCUCGACCAGCGCGUGCUCAAAGGCGCCUCGACCCGACACAAGCGCCGGGCGAUCGGCAAAGCCCACCGCCUCAAGGGUCGUCGGCAGAGCAAAGGGGUCGAGGAGCGUGUGGCCGCUUCCGAUGGCGUACUCGACUGGAAACAACGGGCGAGACCAGUCGCGCAAGGCCUGUGCCAGGGCCAACGAGGCGAUCUGGGCGUUGCCGCCAUAGACCCACGCCAAUGCCGAAUCGAUUGAUACAGGGUCGCCGCGAUCAAUCAGAGGCGCGCGCGCAGUCUCGAUCAAUGCCUCGCCCAUGCCGUGGUAAAAGCGGAUGCGCGACGUCUGGCGCUGACAGGGGGGAUUCUGUGCGCUACUGGCACGACAAGGCGGUUCGUCGUCAUCGCCAUUGGAAUCUCUUGCAGGCCCGCAGGUCCUCUCCCAAAAUCGCUGUGCGUCAAACACCAGACGUCUGGGCCUCGGCAGCAUGUUAGAGUCUAGUGGUGCGUCGCAGGCCUCGGCGCGCAGGCGCACGGCAUAGGCCAAGAGGACGGUCUUGGCCAACUCGGACAGAGUCGCGGGGUCGACUGGAUCGGGCACGUGGGCCUCGGCGCCAGCAGGCACCGCGACGGUGGUGCGGCAGGGUCUCUGACCCCACAGGUCCAGUACCGCCGUCACCGCAUCGGAGCAAGCCUGGGCGAUCCCCAGAGCGCCGACAUAGCGUAGGGCGUCGGCAAAAGCAACGUCGGCUGGUGCGGGCUGUGCGAUGCCACCAAGGAGAUCACAGAAUCGAGCCAGUCGGGCGGCGUCGGCGCCGGCCAACGGCGGCACCUCGACACGCACGACAUCACAUUGGACAUCGGGCAGGGCCUCGCGAAAGCCGCCCACCAACAUCGAGGCAAAAUAGGUGGCCGACGCGCACAGGGCCGCUUUGGGCAGCGUCGCGCGGUGCACCAAGCCGUCAUCUCCGGCGGUCAGGUCGAGCGUGAUCAUGGACUGGUCGUCGUCCAUGGGGUUUGGGAUCGUCUAUCUAUAUCCGUAUGGGUGUGUUUUCCCUAGAAACGGAAUAGUUGUCUCGUGCAACUGCGCCCUCGUGUUUAUUCCUCGAUGACAAGGUCGGGCCACACGAUAAAAACAAAGGACCACCAACGGCGCCGGUCAAAGUUUCUUGAGAGGCGAUUUUGGGUUUGUGCCGUUUGUUGAGGUUUUUUGCAAACCGACCAAUCCACG
rnacentral:lncRNA from 1 species